rfam:Rattus norvegicus chromosome 11, whole genome shotgun sequence.
GGGGAUUUGGCUCAGCGGUAGAGCGCUUGCCUAGCAAGCGCAAGGCCCUGGGUUCGGUCCCCAGCUCCG